AAUUGUACUAAAGUUGAUUGUAUUUGGAAGCAAAAGAACGAAAAAUGUAAUAUAUAAAUUGCAUGUAAUGUAAAUGCUUGUAAUAGCUUAGUUUUUAUGUUUUUGAUACCUUCCUUAUGCAAUUGAUAUAUGAAUUCUGUUCCUGUCAUAGUUAGUAAAUUCGCGUAUAAUACGCGAAUUAUUCGCGAAUUUUUGAUUAGCCGAAUUAAACGGCACGAAACGUAUUUUUCCCAAAAGUGCGAAAAAAACGCGCUUUUUUCUCUAAAAGUAAUUAUCCGCGAAUUAUUCGCGAUUCGCGAAUAAUUGACCGAAAAAAUCGGCCCGCGAGUCGGCGACGACGAGCGUUGUCGUCCUUCUCCGCCGUCGCCCUCGCCGGCGCCGGGAGCAAGAGGGCCGCGGCUACGGUUCCCAUCUCGCCCGACGCCGUCUGUUUUCGCCCAAAAAAACGGCUCGCGAGUCGGCGACGCUCGUCGUCCUCCUCCGCCGCCGCUCUGGCCGGCGCCGGGAGUAAGAGGGCCGCGGCUAGUGGUCUGGGUCGUGGAGAGGAGAGGGAGAAGUGUGGAGAAAGUGUGAGAAAGUGAGAAAGUGAUUGAAGUUGUUGCGUGCUCCGCAAGCAAAGAGAUGCGCGGUCCACGAGGCUGUUUAUAUAUAUAUAAUUUUAUUUAUUAAUAUUUUUAAAUGAUAUUAUUAAUAUAUAUUUAUUAUAAUUUUAAAUAUAUUUAAUUUAUAAAUAAAAAUUAUAAUAAUAAUAAUAAUAUAUAGUAUAUUAAUUAAUUAUGUAUUUAUUAUAUAGCCGAAUUUUUGAUUCCGAAUUUUUAUUUGAUAAACGUAUAAUAUCCGUAUAAAUCACGUAUCCGAAUAAUUACCGAAUCCGUUUUUUAGUCGUAUUUUUCAACAAAUUUAAAAAUUAGAAGACGAAUUUUAUCCGAAUUAUACCCGUAUCGAAUUUUUGCCGAAUCCGAAUUAACUAACUAUGGUUCCUGUUUGGUACCUCGUGAAUUGUACUGUUGCGACGCCUUGGACGUACAGGGGAGACUCUGUCCGUUAGGCAGUCUGUCGGUGCGCCAAAUCCGACCAAAGUGGCGGGUCCCGGGACGUGACAGGAGGGGUUCAGGCUGGGGCGUUCCCGUGAGGUUGACGCAUGUGAGGGGCGCGAUGGAGCGGGUUGGGUUGGGCUUUAGGGUUAGGGUUUAGGGUUAGGGUUGCCUAGGGUGUAAUAUAC
rnacentral:lncRNA from 1 species